rnacentral:rRNA from 1 species
CACGUAGGAGGCAAGCGUUAUUCGGAUUUAUUGGGCGUAAAGCGCGUGCAGGCGGUUUGGAAAGUUGGAUGUGAAAGCUCCCGGCUUAACUGGGAGAGGUCGUUCAAUACUUCCAGACUCGAGUAUGGGAGAGGGAGGUGGAAUUCCGGGUGUAGUGGUGAAAUGCGUAGAUAUCCGGAGGAACACCAGUGGCGAAAGCGGCCUCCUGGUCCAUUACUGACGCUCAGACGCGAAAGCUAGGGUAGCAAACGGGAUUAGAAACCCGGGUAGUCC